rnacentral:rRNA from 1 species
AAAUUCCUGUACUAUCCUGUAACAGAACUGUGGGGACACAGGCAGAGAGCGUGAGCCGGGAAUGGAAAGACCGGUACAAGCGAGGUAAGAGUUCAGUUGGCAAAUCCGCUGAACAAUCUGAAGACGUGAUGUGGACUGAAAAUAAGUAGGGAAGCACGUGAGCUGACUGUCAAGAAAAGCCGCUAUUGUUUGCAGGAUACCCGUACCGUAAACCGACACAGGUGGAUGAGGAGAGAAUCCUAAGGCCGACGGGAGAAGCAUUGUUAAGGAACUCGGCAAAAUGACUCCGUAACUUCGGGAGAAGGAGUGCCAGUAAGAUGGCCGCAGAGAAUUGGCCCAAGCAACUGUUUAGCAAAAACACAGGUCUAUGCAAAACCGAAAGGUGAGGUAUAUGGGCUGACGCCUGCCCGGUGCUGGAAGGUUAAGGGGAGAGGUUAGCGCAAGUGAAGCUUUGAACUUAAGCCCCAGUAAACGGCGGCCGUAACAAUAACGGUCCUAAGGUAGCGAAAUUCCUUGUCGGGUAAGUUCCGACCCGCACGAAAGGCGUAAUGAUUUGGGCACUGUCUCAACAAUGCACCCGGUGAAAUUGAAAUACCAGUGAAGAUGCUGGUUACCUGCGCCAGGACGGAAAGACCCCAUGGAGCUUUACUCCAGCUUGAUACUGGGAUUCGGUAUUGCAUGUACAGGAUAGGUGGGAGGCUAGGAAAUGGUAACGCCAGUUGCCAUGGAGCCGAUGUUGGGAUACCACCCUUGCAGUACUGGGUUUCUAACCAGCAGCCGUGAUCCGGCUGGGGGACAAUGUCAGGUGGGGAGUUUGACUGGGGCGGUCGCCUCCGAAAGGGUAUCGGAGGCGCUCAAAGGUUCCCUCAGAAUGGUUGGAAACCAUUCGAAGAGUGCAAAGGCAGAAGGGAGCUUGACUGCGACACCGACGGGUGGAGCAGGUACGAAAGUAGGACUUAGUGAUCCGGUGGUAUAAAGUGGGAUUGCCAUCGCUCAACGGAUAAAAGCUACCCUGGGAUAACAGGCUUAUCACUCCCAAGAGUUCACAUCGACGGAGUGGUUUGGCACCUCGAUGUCGGCUCAUCGCAUCCUGGGGCUGAAGUAGGUCCCAAGGGUUGGGCUGUUCGCCCAUUAAAGCGGUACGCGAGCUGGGUUCAGAACGUCGUGAGACAGUUCGGUCCCUAUCCGGCGUGGGCGUAAGAUAUUUGAGAGGAGCUGUCCUUAGUACGAGAGGACCGGGAUGGACUGGCCGCUGGUGUAUCUGUUGUCUUACCAAAGGCAUAGCAGAGUAGCCAAGCCGGGAAGGGAUAAACGCUGAAGGCAUCUAAGCGUGAAGCCCCCCUCAAGAUGAGAUAUCUCAUAACGUCAAGUUAGUAAGACCCCUUGAAGACGACGAGGUAGAUAGGGCAGAGGUGGAAGUGUGGUAACACAUGGAGCUGACUGUUACUAAUAGGUCGAGGGCAUAAC